AUACGGAGGAUCCGAGCGUUAUCCGGAUUUAUUGGGUUUAAAGGGUGCGUAGGCGGGAGAUUAAGUCGGUGGUGAAAUUUUGCAGCUCAACUGUAAAAGUGCCAUUGAUACUGGUUUCCUUGAGUGUGGAUGAAGUAGGCGGGAUUUGUGGUGUAGCGGUGAAAUGCAUAGAUAUCACGAGGAACUCCGAUUGCGCAGGCAGCUUACUAAAACAUAACUGACGCUCAGGCACGAAGGCGUGGGGAACAAACAGGAUUAGAUACCCUGGUAGUCCACGCAGUAAACGAUGAUUUCUCGGUGUUUGCGAUACACAGCAAGCGGCUUAGCGAAAGCGUUAAGUAAUCCACCUGGGGAGUACGUUCGCAAGAAUGAAACUCAAAGGAAUUGACGGGG
rnacentral:rRNA from 1 species